UACGGAGGGAGCUAGCGUUGUUCGGAAUUACUGGGCGUAAAGCGCACGUAGGCGGCUAUUCAAGUCAGAGGUGAAAGCCCAGGGCUCAACCUUGGAACUGCCUUUGAAACUAGAUAGCUAGAAUCCUGGAGAGGCGAGUGGAAUUCCGAGUGUAGAGGUGAAAUUCGUAGAUAUUCGGAAGAACACCAGUGGCGAAGGCGACUCGCUGGACAGGUAUUGACGCUGAGGUGCGAAAGCGUGGGGAGCAAACCGG
rnacentral:rRNA from 1 species